AUUGAACGCUGGCGGCAGGCUUAACACAUGCAAGUCGAGCGGGGGAAGGUAGCUUGCUACUGGACCUAGCGGCGGACGGGUGAGUAAUGCUUAGGAAUCUGCCUAUUAGUGGGGGACAACAUCUCGAAAGGGAUGCUAAUACCGCAUACGUCCUACGGGAGAAAGCAGGGGAUCUUCGGACCUUGCGCUAAUAGAUGAGCCUAAGUCGGAUUAGCUAGUUGGUGGGGUAAAGGCCUACCAAGGCGACGAUCUGUAGCGGGUCUGAGAGGAUGAUCCGCCACACUGGGACUGAGACACGGCCCAGACUCCUACGGGAGGCAGCAGUGGGGAAUAUUGGACAAUGGGGGGACCCUGAUCCAGCCAUGCCGUGUGUGUGAAGAAGGCCUUAUGGUUGUAAAGCACUUUAAGCGAGGAGGAGGCUACUUUAGUUAAUACCUAGAGAUAGUGGACGUUACUCGCAGAAUAAGCACCGGCUAACUCUGUGCCAGCAGCCGCAGUAA
rnacentral:rRNA from 1 species